CACACAGUAAACGAUGAAUACUCGCUGUUUGCGAUAGACAGUAAGCGGCAAAGCGAAAGCAUUAAGUAUUCCACCUGGGGAGUACGUCGGCAACGAUGAAACUCAAAGGAAUUGACGGGGGCCCGCACAAGCGGAGGAACAUGUGGUUUAAUUCGAUGAUACGCGAGGAACCUUACCUGGGCUUGAAUUGCAACCGACUGCACCUGAAAGGGUGUUUCUCUUCGGAGCGGUUGUGAAGGUGC
rnacentral:rRNA from 1 species